rnacentral:lncRNA from 1 species
GAGAUAUUCAUGGUGCCAUGAGAGUGUGGGGGGUGGGUCAGAGACUGCUCCAAAGGGGAGCUGCAUUUCAGCUGUGACCUAAAGAUGUCUCCAUCCAUGAAGAGGCUUGCUGCUGAGGUGCCCUCUUCCCUUGGACCAGAAAAGUAGGACAAAAAACCAUUCCUCUCACUGACCACUCCAGACUUAAACAAUGAAUGAGAAAAAU